ACUCAAAGGAAUUGACGGGGGCCCGCACAAGCAGCGGAGCAUGUUGCUUAAUUCGAGGCAACGCGAAGAACCUUACCUGGGUUUGACAUGUAGAGAAAAGCCAUAGAGAUAUGGUGUCCUUCGGGGUUCUACACAGGUGGUGCAUGGUUGUCGUCAGCUCGUGUCGUGAGAUGUUGGGUUAAGUCCCGCAACGAGCGCAACCCUUGUCCUAUGUUGCCAGCACGUUAUGGUGGGGACUCGUAGGAGACUGCCGGGGUCAACUCGGAGGAAGGUGGGGACGACGUCAAAUCAUCAUGCCCCUUAUAUCCAGGGCUGCAAACAUGCUACAAUGGCCGGUACAAAGGGCUGCGAAACCGCGAGGUGGAGCGAAUCCCAGAAAGCCGGUCUCAGUUCGGAUUGGAGUCUGCAACUCGACUCCAUGAAGCUGGAGUUGCUAGUAAUCCCGGAUCAGCAACGCCGGGGUGAAUACGUUCCCGGGCCUUGUACACACCGCCCGU
rnacentral:rRNA from 1 species